GUGGGUAACGGCCCACCUAGCCUACGACGGGUACGGGCCCUGAGAGGGGGAGCCCGGAGAUGGGCACUGAGACAAGGGUCUAGGCCCUAAGGGGCGCAGGAGGCGCGAAGAUUCCGCAAUGCCCGAAAGGGCGACGGAGUGAACCCGAGUGCCACCCGCUGAGGGUGGCUGUUCCCCUGUGUAAAAAGCAGGGGGCAGGAAGGGGAGGGCAAGGCUGGUGGCAGCCGCCGCGGUAAAACCAGCUCCCCGAGGGGUUCCCACGCAUACUGGGCCUAAAGCGUCCGUAGCCGGCCCUGUAAGUCUGCAGUUAAAUCCGCCUGUAGACAGGCGGGUUGCUGCAGAUACUGCAGGGCUAGGGAGCGGGAGGAGCCGGGGGUAUUCCCGGGGGAGCGGUAAAAUGCGUAGAUCCCGGGAGGACCACCAGUGGCGAAGGCGCCCGGCUUGAACGCGUCCGACGGUGAGGGACGAAAGCUGGGGGAGCAAACCGGAUUAGAUACCCGGGUAGUCCCAGCCGUAAACGAUGCCGGCUAGGUGCUGGCCAAGGUUUCGGCCUUGGCCAGUGUCGAAGCGAAGGCAUUAAGCCGGCCGCCUGAGGAGUACGGCCGCAAGGCUGAAACUUGAAGGAAUUGACGGGGGGGCACCACAAGGGGUGAAUGCCUGCGGCUUAAUUGGACUCAACGCCGGGAAUCUUACCGGGGGCGACAGCAGGAUGAAGGUCAGGCUGAAGACCUUACCAGACGCGCUGAGGGGUGGUGCAUGGCCGUCGCCAGCUCGUACCGUGAGGUGUCCUGUUAAGUCAGGCAACGAGCGAGACCCCCGCCCCUAGUUGCCAGCGGCCUCCUUCGGGAGGGACCGGGCAAACUAGGGGGACCGCCUCCGAAGAGGAGGAGGAAGGUGGGGGCUACGGCAGGUCAGUAUGCCCCUAAUCCCCCGGGCCGCACGCGGGCUGCAAUGGGCGGGACAGCGGGAUG
rnacentral:rRNA from 1 species